rnacentral:rRNA from 1 species
GAAACUUAAAGGAAUUGGCGGGGGAGCACUACAACCGGAGGAGCCUGCGGUUUAAUUAGACUCAACGCUGGGCAACUUACCAGCUCCGACAGUAGCAGUGAAGGUCAGGCUGAUGAUCUUACUGGAGCUACUGAGAGGAGGUGCAUGGCCGCCGUCAGCUCGUACCGUGAGGCAUCCUGUUAAGUCAGGCAACGAGCGAGACCCGCGUCCCUAAUUGCCAGCAGUACCCACGCGGUAGCUGGGUACAUUAGGGAGACCGCCGCUGCUAAAGCGGAGGAAGGAACGGGCAACGGUAGGUCCGCAUGCCCCGAAUGAGCUGGGCUACACGCGGGCUACAAUGGUCGGGACAAUGGGUUGCUACCCCGAGAGGGGACGCUAAUCUCCGAAACCCGGUCGUAGUUCGGAUUGAGGGCUGAAACUCGCCCUCAUGAAGCUGGAUUCGGUAGUAAUCGCGCUUCAAGAUAGCGCGGUGAAUACGUCCCUGCUCCUUGCACACACCGCCCGUCAAAGCACCCGAGUGAGGUCCGGAUGAGGCCACUUCACGGUGGUCGAAUCUGGGCUUCGCAAGGGGGCUUAAGUCGUAACAA